GCAUAGGAGAGGGCCCAGUAUAAAAGAGGAAGAAGUAUCACAGGUUUUGAGAGUUUUCAUCAGUGUCAAAGCAGCCCACUUGUUUUGAACAAACGUAAGCCGUCUACUGAGGAUUCUUGUUGGGGUUUGGCAUCUGCAGGAACCGAAGGAGCAUCAUAUGCAGAAGGAAUGUUUUGCUGCGUCAUUGAAGAGUGCCCCAAAGGAGAAGGAAAUAACAACUUCCAGGAACCUGCAAGGCCUUCCUCCUUCAUGCAGCGUGUCUUUACCUGCAGCUAUCGGCCAGCUGCGAGAACGCAUUCACUGUCUCGAAGUUGAGUACGCCAGGCUGAAAGCCACAGUCCAGCAACAAGCCCAAACCAUUGAAACAAUUGAGAAGCUCAGGCAAGCCCAAAAGACAUGCAAGUGUUCCAUCAUUGACAGAGGAGCGAGGCCCAAGCUGCCAUAAGAAAGACAGCCAUCUCUCUGUGGCAGUAACUGUGGUUUAAACAUGCUUCAAAAUGGC